UACGAAGGGGGCUAGCGUUGCUCGGAAUCACUGGGCGUAAAGCGCACGUAGGCGGUUUGCUAAGUCAGGGGUGAAAUCCUGGAGCUCAACUCCAGAACUGCCUUUGAUACUGGCGGACUUGAGUCCGGGAGAGGUGAGUGGAACUGCGAGUGUAGAGGUGAAAUUCGUAGAUAUUCGCAAGAACACCAGUGGCGAAGGCGGCUCACUGGCCCGGUACUGACGCUGGGGAGCGAAAGCGUGGGGAGCGAACAGG
rnacentral:rRNA from 1 species